rnacentral:rRNA from 1 species
AGUGAACGCUGGCGGUAGGCCUAACACAUGCAAGUCGAACGGCAGCACAGGAGAGCUUGCUCUCUGGGUGGCGAGUGGCGGACGGGUGAGGAAUACAUCGGAAUCUACUCUGUCGUGGGGGAUAACGUAGGGAAACUUACGCUAAUACCGCAUACGACCUACGGGUGAAAGCAGGGGACCUUCGGGCCUUGCGCGAUUGAAUGAGCCGAUGUCGGAUUAGCUAGUUGGCGGGGUAAAGGCCCACCAAGGCGACGAUCCGUAGCUGGUCUGAGAGGAUGAUCAGCCACACUGGAACUGAGACACGGUCCAGACUCCUACGGGAGGCAGCAGUGGGGAAUAUUGGACAAUGGGCGCAAGCCUGAUCCAGCCAUACCGCGUGGGUGAAGAAGGCCUUCGGGUUGUAAAGCCCUUUUGUUGGGAAAGAAAUCCAGCUGGCUAAUACCCGGUUGGGAUGACGGUACCCAAAGAAUAAGCACCGGCUAACUUCGUGCAGCAGCCGCCGCGGUAA